CCCGGACAGAGCCCGUGGUCGCGCAGGUUCUGAAUGAUGACUGACGCGGGUUUGGGUGAUACCCCUCACAGCCCCUGUCAUUCCGGAGUCAUAAGGCACCCGCGCGUCUAGCCCCAGCGCCAGGGCACGCGAGCGGCGCUGGAGGGAGGAAAGCUUCCGCCUGCGGGCCGGACAAAAGUCCCGCCUGCCCACGGCUUUUUGCCCGCCGCUCGUGACCGAGACGCCUCGCCGCGGCCAGCUCGCUGCUCUCGCUGGCGGAUGGUGUGUGGCCGCCGCAGGACGCCCGCCGUGCCCGGGCCAUGAAGUAGCGGCUGCUGGCGGCGCCGCUGCCCAACCGCCAGCCCCAGCCCCGCGCUGCGCUGCCCGGUCCUCUCCCGGCGGGGUCGUAUCGGCGUGGACAUGGCUGGCCGCGUCCCUAGCCUGCUAGUUCUCCUUGUUUUUCCAAGCAGCUGUUUGGCUUUCCGAAGCCCACUUUCUGUCUUUAAGAGGUUUAAAGAAACUACCAGACCAUUUUCCAAUGAAUGUCUUGGUACCACCAGACCCGUAGUUCCUAUUGAUUCAUCAGAUUUUGCAUUGGAUAUUCGCAUGCCUGGGGUUACACCUAAACAGUAGAGACGGGGUUUCACCAUGUUAGCCAGGAUGGUCUCGAUCUCCUGACCUCGUGAUCUGCCCGCUUCGGCCUCCCAGAGUGCUGGGAGAUUACAGGCGUGAGCCACCACACCCAACCAGAAAAAUGCUUAAAUAAAUGUGUUGUGGCCUAAUGUACAGUGUUUAUAAAGUCUACAGUAGUGUACAGUAAUGUCCUAGGCCUUCACAUUCACUCACCUACACACCCAGAGAAACUUCCAGUCCUUCAAGCUGCAUUCAUAGUAAGUACCUGAAAUGGUUUGGAUUUGUGUCCCUGCCUAAGUCUCAUGUCAAAUUGUAAUCCCCAAUGUUGGAGGAGGGGCCUGGUGGGAGGUGAUUGGAUAUGGGGUCAUGGGGGCAGAUUUCCCCCUUGUUGUUCCAGUGACAGUAAGUGGGUUCUCAUGAAAUUUAGUUGUUUAAAAGUGUGUAGUACCUCCCCCUUUGCUGUAUUCUCCUUCUCUGGCCAUGUAAGACGUGCCUACUCCCCUUUUGCCAUCUGCCAUGAUUGUUUCCUGAGGUCUCCCCAGCCAUGCUUCCUGUGCAGCCUGUAGAACUGUAAGCCAAUUAAACCUCUUUUC
rnacentral:lncRNA from 10 species